AACAUAAUGAUUGCUAAACUUAUUCUACAAAAUAAUUCCUUGGGUUUCAGUUUAAGUAUCAACGAAGAUGGUCAGCUAAGACAACUGGCUACCUUAGCCAAAAUUGAUCUCUGAGAGAUACUGUAAAAGUAUGGAGAAAACUGAGAAGCUCCUCUGAGGUUCAAGCCCUGGUAUGAGUGUUUGCAGAAGUAAAAUCAGGGUAGUGAAUAAACAGUGCUGAAGAUCUGAGGAAAAUGGGUGGAGAUUGACUAACUUCCCACAGUCACAUGCCCAUUGCACUCCCAAACUCCAGGCCUGGUGCCUCUUCCAAAUGGUCCUGUGGGUGGAAUUACUGAAGGGAAAACCUUGAUAUGGAGAAACAGCUUGGUGGAGUGAGCAGUGAUUAAAUAUGGGGCUCCCCAUCACAUGGGUCCUUCCACAGACUCAUCAUAGAACCUGAUUAUCAGGGCAGCUGCUGCCUCUUACAUGAUCAGGGGGCUCCUGGCUCCAGAACUGUGUUGUUAUUGCCAUCAUCAGGAAACCACCAUGAUCAGGAAACUGCUGCUAUGAGCUCCGGAGGCGUGUCAUUCCUGCUGUGAUUCAUACAAGCAAAAUGAAGGCCCUGAGUCCUGUCUCUCAACAUCAUGAGUGGGUCCUGAGACCACUGUUAAUGCUGCCACAGAAAAUAAAAUACCUGCAAAAUCAUUCUUGCCCCAAAACCUAGUACUAACAGCAGAAUCUCAGCCUUUGUGUCACUUCCACCUUCUAAAUUUUGCAUCGAAGUAUCCGAUUGCCUGAUUUAAAUCACAUCUAGGAUUCUAAUUGCAAGGAAGCCUGGGAAAUGUAGUUUUUGUUUUCCAGCCACUGCAGAACAAGAGGGCACAACCGAGGAGGGUGGAAUAGACAUUGAAUGCCAAGUUACUAUACCAGGAUGCAUAUUAAAACCCAGGCCCAGGGACUUCAUGGUAAUGAGCACAUAACCUAGAGUGGACACUGUCCACUGUGCUUCCUCUUUGUCUCCUCCUUUGUAAUUAAAAAAAAUUGUUUCUGUAUACCCCUCUGUCAACUUCAAUGCCAACUUUUGCUUUCAACCUCCUCCUUCCCACCCACCAGUUGGAGGAGUGUCACUGGACUCCUGAAGUCAGUUUUUCUGACAAGUACAGAGAGUUAGAACUACUUAGAUGUUUUGACCCUCCUGGGAAAGCCCUUAGCCAACAGCUGAAGAAUGCACUACUGUGAAAGUCGAGCCCCCUUGUCUCCGAUUGGGACAAACUCUAAGGCAUCAUACUUCGGAGUUACCCCACAGGAUUAGGCUGUGGUUGUCCUAAAGACUUUGCCUCAAUUGCAAUCUUGCAAACCUUCUCCUACUUUCUUAUCCAUCUGCUCUGUUCCUAUAUUUUUUUAUCAGUUUAUUUCAAGAAAAUUUCCUUCAUAAAUCAUUUGCACAUAAAUCAUUUGCACGUGGAUGUGUGCUUCAGGUUAUUCUUCUAGUGAACCCUACCCUCAAAUGCUUCAUCCACCACUAAGACUCAGUGCCGUCAAGAAAUGUAGAUAUCGGCAGGAAGCCGGACUCUGGGCAUCAUGUACUACAAAUUUAGUGGCUUCACGCAGAAGUUGGCGGGAGCGUGGGCUUCCGAGGCCUAUAGCCCGCAGGGAUUAAAGCCUGUGGUUUCCACAGAAGCACCACCUAUCAUAUUUGCCACACCAACUAAACUGACCUCCGAUUCCACAGUGUAUGAUUUUGCUGGGAAAAACCGAGUUCCAGAGCUUCAGAUGUUUUUCCAGAAAACUGAUGGUGUGCCUGUCUACCUGAAACGAGGCCUGCCUGACCAAAUGCUUUACCGGACCACCAUGGUGCUGACUGUGGGAGGGACCAUCUACUGCCUGAUCGCCCUCUACAUGGCUUCACAGCCUAAAAACAAAUGAGUUAGGCGGCAGAGGACUGGUUUGUUUUGUGGCAUAAACCCUUUGAAUUUCCUUUUCCACUGUUAAAUUAAAAUUUUUUUUUGUUACUUGGAUGACUUAAUACUUUUGCAAGAAAAAUAGGAAGAUAUGAAGAUGCUGUUUUGGUUUGUUUAUGAAAUGCAUAUGGCUUGUCAGAGUUCAUUUGACAGUUAAAGCCAUUGUUUAAAGAAAUGGUGCUUUGCUCUGUGUUUGUGCUCCUGAUUUCCCUGGAGGUUCUGGAUGAAGGCUGCACACAGGCUUGUUAACCUCAGUCUGUGCUGAGGACCUCAGGGACUUGAGGUUGCAUUUUUGAGCAUGGGGUGCAGAAGACUUUCUGGAUUUGGAUGUGGCUGUGGAAAGAACACAGAAGCCAAGGUCAUGUGCAUGAAAUGAGGGGUUUGAGUUAGUCACCUCGGGGAUUUUUUCCAUUUUGCAGUAAAAUGUUAAAUUAAUGUAGCCUGCCUCUAUUCGUUGGACAGUUAAUUUCAAAGGGUUAUUUGCCUCAUCGCCUAUCUUCAGUGAAAUCUUAUGUGUAAUUGUGUAUAUUUACUUCACCAUGGGAACAGAGAACACCUAUUUAGUGUUGCACUUUAGACCGGUGUCUGUUUUGUUAAUGCAGCUGUGCCACAAAUUCUCCUUUAUCUUUUAAAAAUGUUAUAGCUUUAAAUUAUGAUUUAUUUUGACUGUGGAAUAAAUACAUGAAUAAAAAA